rnacentral:lncRNA from 1 species
UUUUAGCGAAACAGAGAUGUGGGUUCGUAUAACGAAGAUUCCGCUGAAACUUUGAACGGAAAAGAUUGCUGGAAAACUGGGAAAUCAGUUCGGGGCUCUUAAAGGUUUUGAUAAGGAAAAUUCUGGUAUAUGGAGCAGCUAUAUGAGAUUAUGAGUUUUGUUCAACGUUAAUAAGCCAUUAGAAGAGAUUUCUUACUGGAAGUCGACAACGAGAACGUUUGGUACAACGCAACUUAUGAAAGGCUCCCACUAUUUUCCUACAACUGUGGAGUUCUUGGACACACACAAAUAGUGUAAAAUUGAGCAAAUUCCAAAGGAAGAACAGCAGUAUGGAGGGUGGUUGAGAGCCUCCUCCCCUCUCAAACGAUUAGGGACUAGGAAUAAAUCGGAAGCCGAGAGAUUUGCUUCUCUCUGUUCAUCGGCAAAACAGAGGAAGAGUUCCGGCGCUAGCUUCGGCAAAAUAGUGGGUGAGAAUACUGGAAGGCAGAUGGCGCUUUGGACGGCCCGAGAAACGCCUCGGAAAAAGCUCUUUGAUAUUAUUACGGCGGCUCAGCCCCUUUCUUCCACAAAAGGCGGCGAGAAAGUUGACGGGAAAAGUCUUGAUAAUCUCAAAAGUAAUAAUAAAUUAUUUGAGCGUGCAGAUAUCAAGAUAUUUG